GAUCUCUACUACAGGGGAUGGACAGCACAUCGAGCACCCUCGACUGAAGCCAACCUUGUCCCGGAAGUUGGUGCUUCACAACUUUGCGGCAGCACUUCGUUUGCACGGCCUGUGGAGACAAGGUUUCUUAGACAUGGCCAUGGCCUUCAAGGAAGAUGCCGAGGCCACAGGCAGUUCCUCCAGUGACCGUGAAAAGGUCCCCUGGGGCAAAAGUCUAAUUUGGCACCCCUACCUUUCUCCUGCAGCUUUUCUGUCUACUUAGCUAACCAGCAGCAAGUUUAUCCUUGCAAGCAUUUUGGGUCAAGAACAACUUUCACCAGGAAGAAGUGCAAGACGAGUGAUUGAAGAAAAUAAAGUUGCUUCUGUGAUCUAAGAACUUGAGGACUGAAAUGUUGCACCUUUGUGUAUAUAUGCUAUGCAGUGCAUUCAUAUCACAAAGUGCAAAGUGUUUUAUCUCUGCAGCCAUGUCAGUGUGUUGGCAAGACAAUUUUCUCAAUGGUGACCUGCUGCUUUGUCUAUGAGCUGCCUUCAUGACAUUUGCAUUAAAGGCGAUGUACUAUCGUGGACAAAAGUACCCUGGAAG